CCUACGGGCGGCAGCAGUGGGGAAUAUUGGGCAAUGGGCGCAAGCCUGACCCAGCAACGCCGCGUGAAGGAAGAAGGCUUUCGGGUUGUAAACUUCUUUUCUCAGGGACGAAGCAAGUGACGGUACCUGAAGAAAAAGCAUCGGCUAACUCCGUGCCAGCAGCCGCGGUAAUACGGAGGAUGCGAGCGUUAUCCGGAUUUAUUGGGUUUAAAGGGUGCGCAGGCGGCCUGUUAAGUCAGCGGUAAAAGCCCGGGGGUCAACCCCGGCGAGCCGUUGAAACUGGCGGGCUGGAGUUGGAGAGAGGUACGCGGAAUGCGCGGUGUAGCGGUGAAAUGCUUAGAUAUCGCGCAGAACCCCGAUUGCGAAGGCAGCGUACCGGCUCCACACUGACGCUGAGGCACGAAAGCGUGGGUAUCGAACAGGAUUAGAUACCCGAGUAGUC
rnacentral:rRNA from 1 species